GAUCAUGGCUCAGAUUGAACGCUGGCGGCAUGCUUUACACAUGCAAGUCGAACGGCAGCAUGGAGAGCUUGCUCUCUGAUGGCGAGUGGCGAACGGGUGAGUAAUACAUCGGAACGUGUCCUGUUGUGGGGGAUAACUACUCGAAAGAGUAGCUAAUACCGCAUAAGACCUAAGGGUGAAAGCGGGGGACCUUCGGCCGUCGCGCAGUUGGAGCGGCCGGAUGACUGAUUAG
rnacentral:rRNA from 1 species